UCACUACUCCCUUCGUCCGAAAAAACUUGUCUCAAUCUUGUUUCUCAAAUGAAUGUAUCGCACUAACUUGAUGCUAGAUACAUCCAUUCAAGGGACAAGUUUUUCCGGACAGAGGGAGUACUAG
rfam:Triticum aestivum genome assembly, contig: Triticum_aestivum_CS42_TGACv1_scaffold_225919_3B